CCUACGGGUGGCAGCAGUGAGGAAUAUUGGUCAAUGGGCGCGAGCCUGAACCAGCCAAGUUGCGUGAGGGAAGACGGUCCUAUGGAUUGUAAACCUCUUUUGUCGGGGAGCAAAAGACGCCACGCGUGGCGUUCCGAGAGUACCCGACGAAAAAGCAUCGGCUAACUCCGUGCCGACAGCCGCGGUAAUACGGAGGAUGCGAGCGUUAUCCGGAUUUAUUGGGUUUACAGGGUGCGCAGGCGGAAGAUCAAGUCAGCGGUAAAAUUGAGAGGCUCAACCUCUUCGAGCCGUUGAAACUGGUGUUCUUGAGUGAGUGAGAAGUAUGCGGAAUGCGUGGUGUAGCGGUGAAAUGCAUAGAUAUCACGCAGAACUCCGAUUGCGAAGGCAGCAUACCGGCGCUCAACUGACGCUCAUGCACGAAAGUGUGGGUAUCGAACAGGAUUAGAUAACCUUGUAGUC
rnacentral:rRNA from 1 species